AUGCAUCCCACCGCCGAUCCAUAUCCAGAUCAGCUGCGUCAUCGGUUCCGCACACAGGCCAAGGGAAUGACUACCGUUCCAGGGUCUCCGGUCUGGGAGCUCGUGAAGAAGAACAACUACUUCUUGAUCAAGCAGUUCGGCAACAGCAACACCAAGGUGCAGUUCAGCAAGGAGCCAAACAACCUCUACAAUAUCCAGUCCUACAAGUUCUCGGGCUUGGCGAACAGCAAGACCAUGGAGGUCCAGCCAUCAGCGGGAGAGGACAAGGCUGUUGUCCUGUCCACGACCAAGACCAAGAAGCAGAACACCCCUGCCAAGCUCCAGCACAAGACUCUGAUGCGCAAGGAGUUCCGCAAGAUGGCCAUCUGUCAAGAACUAGGUAUUAACUCUAGAGUUUUGUACUUGAAUUGCCCUUAUGCUUGGCUUCUAAGCUACAACUGUAAGUCACGGCUUGUCUCUGCUUCCUCCGUGAGUUCAGAGUUGUGGCAUGGCAUGCUUGAUUUUUUGGUGGACUUGUGUCCCUGA
rnacentral:rRNA from 1 species